UUAGAGUUUGAUCCUGGCUCAGAUUGAACGCUGGCGGCAGGCCUAACACAUGCAAGUCGAGCGGAAACGAGUUAACUGAACCUUCGGGGAACGUUAACGGCGUCGAGCGGCGGACGGGUGAGUAAUGCCUGGGAAAUUGCCCUGAUGUGGGGGAUAACCAUUGGAAACGAUGGCUAAUACCGCAUAAUAGCUUCGGCUCAAAGAGGGGGACCUUCGGGCCUCUCGCGUCAGGAUAUGCCCAGGUGGGAUUAGCUAGUUGGUGAGGUAAGGGCUCACCAAGGCGACGAUCCCUAGCUGGUCUGAGAGGAUGAUCAGCCACACUGGAACUGAGACACGGUCCAGACUCCUACGGGAGGCAGCAGUGGGGAAUAUUGCACAAUGGGCGCAAGCCUGAUGCAGCCAUGCCGCGUGUAUGAAGAAGGCCUUCGGGUUGUAAAGUACUUUCAGCAGUGAGGAAGGUUCCAUACGUUAAUAGCGUAUGGAUU
rnacentral:rRNA from 1 species